rnacentral:rRNA from 1 species
UAACGCGUAGGUAACCUGCCUUGUAGCGGGGGAGUAACUAUUGGAAACGAUAGCUAAUACCGCAUAACAAUGGGUGACUCAUGUCAUUUAUUUGAAAAGGGGCAAAUGCUCCACUACAAGAUGGACCUGCGUUGUAUUAGCUAGUAGGUGAGGUAACGGCUCACCUAGGCGACGAUACAUAGCCGACCUGAGAGGGUGAUCGGCCACACUGGGACUGAGACACGGCCCAG